rnacentral:rRNA from 1 species
CCCGCACAAGCGGUGGAGCAUGUGGUUUAAUUCGAUGAUACGCGAGGAACCUUACCUGGGCUCAAAUGUAUGUUGACGUAUUCUGAAAGGGAUACUUCUUCGGACAAUAUACAAGGUGCUGCAUGGUUGUCGUCAGCUCGUGCCGUGAGGUGUCGGGUUAAGUCCCAUAACGAGCGCAACCCCUAUCAUUAGUUGCCAUCAGGUCAAGCUGGGGACUCUAAUGAAACUGCCUACGCAAGUAGUGAGGAAGGUGGGGAUGACGUCAAAUCAGCACGGCCCUUACGUCCAGGGCUACACACGUGCUACAAUGGCCGGUACAAAGGGCAGCUACCUGGUGACAGGAUGCUAAUCUCAAAAGCCGGUCUCAGUUCGGAUUGCAGUCUGCAACUCGACUGCAUGAAGUUGGAAUCGCUAGUAAUCGCGGAUCAGCCAAGCCGCGGUGAAUACGUUCCCGGGCCUU